GGCAACCCUGGCGGGUUCUUCAAACGGCGAAAAACAAAUGUUCAACGAUUGAUACAUGAAAAUGAGUGAUGGUGCCACUGACGGGCAUCCAUUUUGAUGACUUGACAUGGAGGCUGAUUUGACAGGAGGAUGCCAGAAUCUGCUGGGUCAUUGCCAUCACAAGCAAGGUUGUCUUUGAUGUCGAGGAGGUACACACUGCUACUAGAUUACCAGGCAAAGUGUUUAGUCUCCAAAUGUCAAUAUUCACCACAUACCUGCAAAUUAGAGUAGAUCCUCAGAUUGAAGAAAACCUAAAAGAGUUUAACAGGAAGUGUGAGAGGAGACUGAAUCAGCAAUUCAUGAGAACGUACUUAAAAUAUGCCGAAUGAUUCCAACAUCAACAGAGAACUUACGGUCAUUUCAAGGAAUGUGUUUUCCAUUUUCAUGGAGCCGAUUCUGAAGGCAACACCCUAAAACAAUUUUGGAAAAUGUUUCACAGUACCGUACACAAUGGAAUUGUCAGGUUUACAAUAGACAGAAAUGUAUACCUCUUGAUUCGCUCAACAUCGGAAUAUUUUAAGUUCAAACUAGAUGAGGUGGCUGCAUUUAAAGCAAACUCCUGAAAAAGGCAAACAUCCUUUGACUCAUGAACACAUAGAGCACAGAGCAAUAUUGUAUGCUUGCAAAUUACCCCCACCCCCCAUCAGGAAGUGAUCUGACGGGGGGUGGGGGUGUGGACCCUUGUCGGGGAAUUCCUGGCAUCGCUCUUGGUCUGUAAGACAAAGAUCUAUCUGUUUAAAGUACAUAUAUGUGCAUCAUGAGCUCUUUGUAGCAGUGUAUCUAGGAGUCUUAAAAUAAGGGAGGGGCUAGAUGAUUGGGAGACAGGGUGCUAACUCACAAAAAAAAAGUUUAUAUUAGGUAAUUUUUAAUUACUUGAAUGUAAUUUUUUUUCCAUCAAACAUUCCUGUAGAGGUGUGGGGGUCGUGGGUUUGCGUCACUAAUAAAAAUAGCAUUCCCAAAGCUUUAGAAUGAGUUAGGCGUAUACAUAUUCAUAUUUUUAUUUUAGUUUGAUUAGAAAAAUGAUUGCAAGUAAAUUAUAAUUUUCAUUAUAUUGUCGAUAAUCAUGGUCAUAUGUCAGCACGGUGUGAAUGUUAAGUUAAUAACUUUCGUUAAAAAUUAUGCAUUUGUUUUGUACUUACGAAUAUGAUUAUCGUUCUUGUAUGACACAGAUGCAGUUUAACAGAUAUGAUAGUUAUUUGUUGAAAAUAAUUAUACAGAUAACAUUAUUUUUAAAAACAAGUAACAACAUUAUUGAUGGUAAUGACAACUGUAGCAAAUAAUAUUUGCAGAUAUGUUUUAACAAAUAUGAUAACUAUUUUUUUUGUGAUGUAGCCAUUUAUUAUCAUUUUUGUAUCUACAGUAUUAUUACUUUUAUGAUCAAGAAACAUUUAAAGAUAUAUUCUAAAUGAAAAAAAUGUUUAAACCUUGAUCUUUAUAUACUGUUAUUUGCUUUUUGCGCUGAAAUAUAGUUUAAGUAUUAUUUCAUUUCUGAUAAAUGGGUGUAGAGAGUUCUUGUCAAAGUUAAUUCAUUAUUGUAUUCUUAACAUGAGAAUAGUUAUUAUUUAAGCAAGACUGUAGUGGUAGGAAUAUUUUCCAGUUUCAUUGAAUAAAUAACCACAGAAACUUGUUAAA